rnacentral:rRNA from 1 species
UACGUAGGGCGCAAGCGUUGUCCGGAAUUAUUGGGCGUAAAGAGCUCGUAGGCGGCCUGUUGCGUCCGCUGUGAAAUCCCGGGGCUCAACCCCGGGCGUGCAGUGGAUACGGGCUGGCUGGAGGCAGGCAGGGGAGAACGGAAUUCCUGGUGUAGCGGUGAAAUGCGCAGAUAUCAGGAGGAACACCGAUGGCGAAGGCAGUGUUCUGGGCCAGUACUGACGCUGAGGAGCGAAAGCGUGGGGAGCAAACAGG